GUGGAGUUUCUGUGCGCGAGCACAUAUAAGCUCGUUAUCUAGGACGUUGAGAAUCACGUGGGGAUCUGAGCCGAGAUGUUUGUCGUGGGAAUACAGAAGAGUUGGAGAUGGGUUCGCGGCAGGACCUGAUCUGUGGGCCAGAAAAGCGGCCUCCGUCCGUUGUGCGUGCCGGCGACAGGGACGGCGGUUGCUGAGUUCUUCCUGAUCCGUGGAUCAGAUCGUUUGCCGGGCAGUUGGUCCGUGGACCAAGAAGCUUGCUUGCCACCGCGGGUUGGUAUGGAGAUUUAUUGUGCGCACAGUGGUCUUGCUGUAUGAUUCCUUUUCAUCUACGGGGAGAGAAGAGGAGAGCGAGUGCUUCUGAAGACGAAGUCGUGCACAGUAGGGCGACUUGAUUCCCCGGCCAUGGAGUUUCUAAUGCAGCCGAUAAGCAGAUUCCCCUUCGUUGAGGAAGUUGACGAGAGCUCAAACCCAAUGGAUCUGGUGGAGUACGGACUGAAAGGGUCGAAUCCGAGGUUGCGGCGCCGGUCAUAAAUGGCGCGCAAAUCUGCGAGGGAGAAAGGGCCAGGCCGCCAGGGAGAUCAGACGGGAAAUAUCACCACGAGCAUCUGAGCUUUAGACCGGCAAGAUGAACCCCAGGCUGAGGAUUGGAGCAGCUCCACCUUGCCGGACACCGUGCUCUUCGCGCAUGUCUGCGUUCAAGAACUUGGUGAGUGGUUUUGUGGAGAACCCUAAAGAAAAUGUGAUUGUGCUGGACAUUGGGACAAGUUUUGACUCGCUGAGAGAAGUUUAUGAUUUAUACAAUCUCUAUUAUUUGGAGAAAGAAUUUGGGAUAAGAUAUGGCAAGAGCAGGCACAACAACUCACUGUUGCCUCAUUUUGGAGAACAAAACACUAGCCAUCUCUCAAGCACAUUGAUGUGUACAACCAAGACUUGAUAAAUAUUUAUUGACUUCAUGGAGCUUUUUUUCUUUGAGAUUUUUAAGAAAUAAAACUACGAAGUUUGGUCAGUACAUAUAUCACCUUUUGGAUUUAUUUUGUCUUUCAAAAGAUUUCAGUUGAGUUAUGUUGCCUGCUGAUGUGUGAAUGCAAAUUCAGCCAUGGCUUUCCAAAUGAAUGGCAGGGUUUGAUGGGGAUCGAUGUAUGUAAAAUCGGUAAGUGCAAUGUUCUUGUGUGCUUAUGUACUUCUAUUUGUGUUGGUUGAUAGUUCAUUUUUGUUUAAUUCUUCUACAUAUAAUUUCGUCUAACAGGUGUUCUGCUAUGCCUUAUUAUGGCAACUGGAAUAUGUGCACUAAUCCUUGGGUUAUGGCCUAUGCAUCUUAUUUAGACAUACUACUGCAUCAUCAUUUAAAGUGUGUAUCUUCUGCAGUUUCACUUUUAACGAUCACAUUAAUACAUGUUGAAAUACUCAUAUUAUGCAUUCUCAUUUUCACGGAGGUGGAACCAGAAUGGUUGGACAUGUUGUAAAGAAGCUUCUACUUAUUGCUUCUGCUGUGACCUUGAUCUUAUGGUUAAUAUUAGGCAUCUCGGGAAGUGCUUUUGCUGGAUUAUUAUAUGGCUUUCCAGCACAAAUAAUGACCGCCAUUUGUUUGUGUUUAUGACAAAGCCAUUUGUUCAAUUCUUUGUGGUACAUUUUUCUCUUCAUCAAGCAUACUACUCCCUCCAUCCCAUAAUAUAAGAGCGUUUUUUACACUACACUGUAGUGUAAAAAACGCUCUUAUAUUAUGGGACGGAGGGAGUAUUUGUUUUUGUUUAUGACAUUUCUGCUUUGUUAGAACACAUUUUACAUUUUUCUUACCAUCUCAAAACUGUAGGAUGGAACAUGGAGUAGUAUUAUUGGAAUUUGUACAGUGAUCAUUGAUUUGGAAAACAUGAUUUCCACUCCUAUUUUCCAGUUAUGGAUGAUCUUCGUUUUCAGAGACCUCCUGAUGGAAGUCUAUAUGAGAUAAGAUUCCUUCAUAUUCCCGGGGCAUUGUUAACUGUUGCUUGUGGACUCAUACUGGAUGCACUAAUGUUCACAAUAAUUGCCAUCUACAAGUGCCCUGUGAUGCUUUUCAAAUGGUGGAAAUGCCUGAUUAAGGAUUUGAUUGGGGGAGAAGUACUUUUUAAAAGUGGCAUGUAUUCUUGUCUUAAGAGUGACCUGUGCAUGAUGGUCAGGGGCACCACGGCAAUCUUAUUACUCCCUCCGUUCCUAAAUAUUUAUCUUUUUAGGAUUUUAAAUGGACUACCACAUAUGGAUGCAUAUAGACAUAUUUUAGAGUGUAGAUUCACUCAUUUUGCUCCGUAUGUAGUCAUUUGUUGAUAUCUCUAGAAAGACAAAUAUUUAUGAACGGAGGGAGUAUGUGUUAGAGAUAUACUCUAGCAUAGAGCUACAAUAAAUUUGUCGAACUUGUGUUGCAAAAAAUUGUUUUAUGAUUCCAAACACAUGUCACAACUGGUUA